rnacentral:rRNA from 1 species
CCUACGGGAGGCAGCAGUGAGGAAUAUUGGUCAAUGGACGGGAGACUGAACCAGCCAAGCCGCGUGAGGGAUGAAUGUCCAGUGUAUCGUAAACUUCUUUUGUAAGGGAACAAAACCAGGCACGUGUCCCUUUUUGCGUGUACUUUAUGAAUAAGCAUCGGCUAACUCCGUGCCAGCAGCCGCGGUAAUACGGAGGAUCCGAGCGUUAUCCGGAUUUAUUGGGUUUAAAGGGUGCGCAGGUGGUCUGUUAAGUCAGCGGUAAAAAUUCGGGGCUCAACCCGGUAGUGACGUUGAGACUGAUGGGCUUGAGUGCGCGAGAAGUAUGCGGAAUGCGUGGUGUAGCGGUGAAAUGCAUAGAUAUCACGAAGAACUCCGAUUGCGAAGGCAACAUACCGGAGUGCAACUGACGCUGAGGCACGAAAGCGUGGGUAUCGAACAGGAUUAGAUACCCUUGUAGUC